rnacentral:rRNA from 1 species
UACGUAGGGAGCGAGCGUUGUCCGGAUUCAUUGGGCGUAAAGAGCUCGUAGGCGGCUUGGUAAGUCGGAUGUGAAACCUCCAGGCUCAACCUGGAGUCGCCAUCCGAUACUGCCAUGGCUAGAGUCCGGUAGGGGCCCACGGAAUUCCUGGUGUAGCGGUGAAAUGCGCAGAUAUCAGGAAGAACACCCGUGGCUAAGGCGGCUCUCUAGUACGGUACUGACGCUGAGACGCGAAAGCGUGGGGAGCGAACAGG